CAAAAUGUCUGGUGUCUAAACUGAUUUCUUUAUACUCUGUGAAAGACUUAUUCUAUUUUUCUGAACUAUGCUGAACUAUUGAACUAUUUUUAUUUUUGUAGAGUUAGCCAGAGAGAGAGGAAGUGUUAGCUGACCCAGAGUUAGCUGUACUAUGUGUGUUUUUGAUAUAUGUUGAGUGUGCCAAGGAUGGAUUCCCAUGUUUUGAGGAACUGCGUGAGGAUAUGACUGGUUUUGACUGGACUUUUGGAAUAGGGAAAUGGUUAAAAGAUAUAGGACGCAAGGUCCUGGUUGUGCAAUAAUAUAGUUGCUAUAAGCCCAAGUUCCAUUCUGUCUUAAACAUCCAUUUUCUAUAUAUUUGUCUGCAAAAGUAUUAAGUGUUUUUUUCUGCUGAGUUUCUGUUUCUUGUAGACCACAUGAUUGCUUGGGAAUGCCAUAAUGUGGAAAUUUCUCUGUCUUGGGAGAAUGUUAACCGAUGAUAUGAGCAAUAUAUAUUGCUCAAAGAGGGGUAACAAUUGUGAUUAUUGGGGCUCAGUUGGAUGGAACACCGGGACAGAUUGGGGUUAUAAGCCACAGAAUGCAUUAGAUAAAGGAUAAGAAUGGGAAGUCCCUCUUGACUAGAAUGACCCUAACAAAGCCAGGUACAUGUACCCCUAUAGGGCAAACUUGGCACUCCAUGAAAUUUACCUUAAAUAUUGAAAACCCCAGUCCUGGAGAUCAAGGUACCUAUAUUCUCAGUACCUUUUUAAGAGGAGGUAUUGGAGGUAAUCGAGAAAAAAUCCAGUUAAAAGAUAUAUGGAACUCCUCAAAAUGGGAAAGCCUCACCUCUAGAUAAACUCUUGUUAAUCCUCUAAAGCCCCACAUUCAAACCCUUGGUGAUAUGAUGGCCAUAGCAGAUCCCACGUUUGGAGAUACCAUAGCGUUAGAAACAGGGUAUACAGAUACAAACUUUUGGCUGGAAUGGAUGAGAUAUAAUGCCCAUUCCAACAAUAGGUCAAACUGUUAUGUAUGUGGUAGUGCCAGACCUCAUCUAGGAACUGUACCUUUACAUGUCCCUGAUGAGUACUGGGAAUGUUUCCUAAGUUUGUUUUCAGGUAUCACUGUUAAUACUACAGGAUGUGAAGAAUGGAAAAAGGGUCACCCUAUUGGUGAACCCAAGUUUAAAUUAAAUGAUGUUGUCUCAGUAUACCCUGGUAAUUAUACUUGUUUUCAGGGAAAUAAUAAUGGUAAGGUGGGUAAAUCAUUUGAUAACUUUUCUUCAGGAUUCUGCUCCGCCUACAGUAAUAUUACCUUAGUGAAUCAAACACAAUCUGUGGGAGAUGUUUAUUGAAUAUGUGGAGAUAUGAAAAUACGUUCUAGACUCCCCACCCCCUGGAGAGGAGAAUGUGCCCCAGCCAAAAUAAUCAUGCCCCUCCAUAUAUUUGGCGACUCUCUCCCUGAAAUUAAGGUUGUAACUGAUUCCACAAGAAGGAAAAGGGAAUCCCCACAAGGUAGUUUCGACCCAAAUAUCUAUCUAGAUGCCACUGGUAUUCCAAGAGGGGUCCCUAAUGAAUUUAAAGCUAGAGACGAGGUGGCAGCAGGAUUUGAAUCAAUAUUUCCCAUUAUAACAGCUAACAAGAAUGUUAACUGGAUUAAUUAUAUAUAUUAUAAUCAGCAAAGAUUUGUAAAUUAUACACGAGAUGCAUUACAAGGUCUUGCUGAACAAUUACAGGCUACCUCACAAAUGACUUUCCAGAAUAGAAUGGCCCUUGAUAUGAUUUUAGCAGAAAAGGGAGGAGUCUGUAAAUUACUUGACUCCGGUGUUUGUUGUACCUAUAUUCCAGAGAACACUGGCCCUAAUGGUAAAGUAACCCUAGCUAUAAAGAAAUUGGAAGACCUGUCCAUAGAAAUGAAGAGGAAUUUAGGUAUUGAUCACCCAUGGGCAGAUAUGUUUAAGUUUGACAGUAUCCUAGACUGGCUAAAGAAUAUUGCAAUACUUAUUGUUAUGGUUCUGAUCCUUGCUCUACUUGUUUAUGCUAUUUUCAAGAUUAUUGUAUUCUGCAUUUACAAACAUACACGCAACACUGUUCCUGUAAAAUCCCCAGCUUGCUAUGAUGAGUAUCUCCAAAUGUAUACACAUAACCGAAGCAAUGGUGAACAUGCUGAUACAGAUCUAUAAGUUUGUGGUACUGGCCAGAUGCCUAGUCCUAUGCUAUGGGAAUAGUGGCCGAAGACAUAAUGAAAGACCUGCAGGAUUGGCUAGCAAUCCUGAAUAUACCAUGGCAGAUGGCUGGUUGUCUGACCAGGACUCCUUAAAUAGGGUAUGAGCAAGAUAUUGCUCAAAGAGGGGAAAAUGAAGGAAUUGAGACAGUUAAUCUGUUAGUAUUGUAGAAAUGAAUUAUUUUGUAAAUGUAGUAGCAAGCUCUUUUCAGAACUGCUUGCAAAACAUAACUGAAAGGAAGUCACAAGCUAUGACAGUUUCUAUGUAUCAGGAAAUGCCUAACCACAAUGUAUAUGUGAUAUUUUGUAAGAUUAGAUUAUUGAAUGUAACAGCAGAAAC
rnacentral:lncRNA from 1 species